UUCGGUACAUCGGUGACAGGUGGUGCAUGGUUGUCGUCAGCUCGUGUCGUGAGAUGUUGGGUUAAGUCCCGCAACGAGCGCAACCCCUAUUGUUAGUUGCCAUCAUUCAGUUGGGCACUCUAGCGAGACUGCCGGUAUAAACCGGAGGAAGUGGGAUGACGUCAAAUCAUCAUGCCCCUUAUGACCUGGGCUACACACGUGCUACAAUGGUUGGUACAACGAGUUGCGAGUCGGUGACGGCGAGCUAAUCUCUUAAAGCCAAUCUCAGUUCGGAUUGUAGGCUGCAACUCGCCUACAUGAAGUCGGAAUCGCUAGUAAUCGCGGAUCAGCACGCCGCGGUGAAUACGUUCCCGGGCCUU
rnacentral:rRNA from 1 species